UUAAGCGACUAAGCGUACACGGUGGAUGCCCUGGCAGUCAGAGGCGAUGAAGGACGUGCUAAUCUGCGAAAAGCGUCGGUAAGGUGAUAUGAACCGUUAUAACCGGCGAUGUCCGAAUGGGGAAACCCAGUGUGAUUCGUCACACUAUCGUUAACUGAAUACAUAGGUUAACGAGGCGAACCGGGGGAACUGAAACAUCUAAGUACCCCGAGGAAAAGAAAUCAACCGAGAUUCCCCCCAGUAGCGGCGAGCGAACGGGGAGCAGCCCAGAGUCUGAAUCAGCUUGUGUGUUAGUGGAACGGUCUGGAAAGUCCGACGGUACAGGGUGAUAGUCCCGUACACCAAAAUGCACAGGCUGUGAACUCGAAGAGUAGGGCGGGACACGUGGUAUCCUGUCUGAAUAUGGGGGGACCAUCCUCCAAGGCUAAAUACUCCUGACUGACCGAUAGUGAACCAGUACCGUGAGGGAAAGGCGAAAAGAACCCCGGCGAGGGGAGUGAAAAAGAACCUGAAACCGUGUACGUACAAGCAGUGGGAGCACCUUCGGGUGUGACUGCGUACCUUUUGUAUAAUGGGUCAGCGACUUAUAUUCUGUAGCAAGGUUAACCGUAUAGGGGAGCCGCAGGGAAACCGAGUCUUAACUGGGCGUUAAGUUGCAGGGUAUAGACCCGAAACCCGGUGAUCUAGCCAUGGGCAGGUUGAAGGUUGGGUAACACUAACUGGAGGACCGAACCGACUAAUGUUGAAAAAUUAGCGGAUGACUUGUGGCUGGGGGUGAAAGGCCAAUCAAACCGGGAGAUAGCUGGUUCUCCCCGAAAGCUAUUUAGGUAGCGCCUCGUGAACUCAUCUUCGGGGGUAGAGCACUGUUUCGGCUAGGGGGUCAUCCCGACUUACCAACCCGAUGCAAACUACGAAUACCGAAGAAUGUUAUCACGGGAGACACACGGCGGGUGCUAACGUCCGUCGUGAAGAGGGAAACAACCCAGACCGCCAGCUAAGGUCCCAAAGUCAUGGUUAAGUGGGAAACGAUGUGGGAAGGCACAGACAGCCAGGAUGUUGGCUUAGAAGCAGCCAUCAUUUAAAGAAAGCGUAAUAGCUCACUGGUCGAGUCGGCCUGCGCGGAAGAUGUAACGGGGCUAAACCAUGCACCGAAGCUGCGGCAGCGACACUAUGUGUUGUUGGGUAGGGGAGCGUUCUGUAAGCCUGCGAAGGUGACCUGUGAGGGUUGCUGGAGGUAUCAGAAGUGCGAAUGCUGACAUAAGUAACGAUAAAGCGGGUGAAAAGCCCGCUCGCCGGAAGACCAAGGGUUCCUGUCCAACGUUAAUCGGGGCAGGGUGAGUCGACCCCUAAGGCGAGGCCGAAAGGCGUAGUCGAUGGGAAACAGGUUAAUAUUCCUGUACUUGGUGUUACUGCGAAGGGGGGACGGAGAAGGCUAUGUUAGCCGGGCGACGGUUGUCCCGGUUUAAGCAUGUAGGCUGGUUAUCCAGGCAAAUCCGGAUAAUCAAGGCUGAGGUGUGAUGACGAGGCACUACGGUGCUGAAGUAACAAAUGCCCUGCUUCCAGGAAAAGCCUCUAAGCAUCAGGUAACAUCAAAUCGUACCCCAAACCGACACAGGUGGUCAGGUAGAGAAUACCAAGGCGCUUGAGAGAACUCGGGUGAAGGAACUAGGCAAAAUGGUGCCGUAACUUCGGGAGAAGGCACGCUGGUGUGUAGGUGAAGCCCCUGCGGGUGGAGCUGAGACCAGUCGAAGAUACCAGCUGGCUGCAACUGUUUAUUAAAAACACAGCACUGUGCAAACACGAAAGUGGACGUAUACGGUGUGACGCCUGCCCGGUGCCGGAAGGUUAAUUGAUGGGGUUAUCCGUAAGGAGAAGCUCUUGAUCGAAGCCCCGGUAAACGGCGGCCGUAACUAUAACGGUCCUAAGGUAGCGAAAUUCCUUGUCGGGUAAGUUCCGACCUGCACGAAUGGCGUAAUGAUGGCCAGGCUGUCUCCACCCGAGACUCAGUGAAAUUGAACUCGCUGUGAAGAUGCAGUGUACCCGCGGCAAGACGGAAAGACCCCGUGAACCUUUACUAUAGCUUGACACUGAACAUUGAGCCUUGAUGUGUAGGAUAGGUGGGAGGCUUUGAAGCGUGGACGCCAGUCUGCGUGGAGCCAACCUUGAAAUACCACCCUUUAAUGUUUGAUGUUCUAACGUUGGCCCCUUACCGGGGUUGCGGACAGUGUCUGGUGGGUAGUUUGACUGGGGCGGUCUCCUCCCAAAGCGUAACGGAGGAGCACGAAGGUUAGCUAAUCCUGGUCGGACAUCAGGAGGUUAGUGCAAUGGCAUAAGCUAGCUUGACUGCGAGCGUGACGGCGCGAGCAGGUGCGAAAGCAGGUCAUAGUGAUCCGGUGGUUCUGAAUGGAAGGGCCAUCGCUCAACGGAUAAAAGGUACUCCGGGGAUAACAGGCUGAUACCGCCCAAGAGUUCAUAUCGACGGCGGUGUUUGGCACCUCGAUGUCGGCUCAUCACAUCCUGGGGCUGAAGUAGGUCCCAAGGGUAUGGCUGUUCGCCAUUUAAAGUGGUACGCGAGCUGGGUUUAGAACGUCGUGAGACAGUUCGGUCCCUAUCUGCCGUGGGCGCUGGAGAAUUGAGGGGGGCUGCUCCUAGUACGAGAGGACCGGAGUGGACGCAUCACUGGUGUUCGGGUUGUCAUGCCAAUGGCACUGCCCGGUAGCUAAAUGCGGAAGAGAUAAGUGCUGAAAGCAUCUAAGCACGAAACUUGCCCCGAGAUGAGUUCUCCCUGAGACUUUAAGUCUCCUGAAGGAACGUUGAAGACGACGACGUUGAUAGGCCGGGUGUGUAAGCGCAGCGAUGCGUUGAGCUAACCGGUACUAAUGAACCGUGAGGCUUAACCU
rnacentral:rRNA from 1 species